rnacentral:lncRNA from 1 species
AUGCUACCUCUACAAUCGACGAUGCUCAGAGCUCGAAGCGCCGAUUCCAGAUAUCAAUAAGGAAUCUGCUUUGCGGAAAUUACGGGCAGCUUUGUCAGAAAGCGCGUAAUUUGUACUAUUCAUCCAUCCACCGGCUGCCGACAAUGAGUGAGGGAAUAGUUCCGGUUGUGAAGAAAAGUCCCAUAAGUAUCUACCUUCGCCUUCCAUAGCUAAGGCACACCCUCUCAGCACUUCUUCCUCUCUGAAAUGGCUUUCCAACAAACCCUCUCGAGUCACACUGUAUUCCUCAUUCCCUGGGAUACCCCUGCAAACAACCCAUCCAGAGCAAAAGUAUUUCAUAUCAUGAAGGUUGAAAGCAAGAGUAUCUCAUAUCAUGCUUUCUCCCUGUCCUUUCUCCAGCCAGCUCUUGCUCUCGAGUACUCAUCAUCUUAUGCCUUCGCUUCGUCUCUCACGUCUAAGGGAAGUGAAGAGGGUUAAAUUUGUGUGCUUAUAUAUUUCGCAUCAACCAUAUGCUCAUACCAAAUUCAAACUCCACAAAUUGAAACACAUAAAACUCAAGAUAGAAGUCAAGGGUUGUAACGGGGCUUGGGGUAUUGGCUAAUAAAGAAAGGAUAGGAAUAACAAAUGUUCUUAAAGCGAUAGCAAGCAAAGCAAUGAAAUAGACACUUGGAAUUCACUUUAGAAUGCAGAAUCAACUUUUACAUACAAAAGGAAGAUUCAUGCAACACUUAGGGCCGAAUUCAAUGUUUUGGACCCUUUUUUAACAAACAACACUUUAGAGUUCUUUUUCAUACGUUUUUUUUUUCUUUUCUCUACCUGUGCCUUAUUAAGGACUUUGGCACACACACACACAAGAAUCACUUCCCCCCACACUUGCUUUCUGCAAUACAUUGAUAAAAAAAGGAGUUCAUUUUAGGUCAUACUUUACUAUGCUUCAAGAACAAGGGUAUGGAUGAUCCUAAAACUAGGCUAGGUAAGGAUAGUGCGGGUUAACAAAGAACAUAGGCUUAAUAAGGCUCAACGGGGUUAAACUUAAACACAUAAUGAAAUAGGGGCACGACAAUUUGGCUUUGGUGGUCAC